rnacentral:tRNA from 1 species
UAGAAUGUGGUGUAGUAGGUAGCACGGAGAGUUUUGAGUUCUCAGGCAUGGGUUCAACCCCUAUGGUUCUAG